rnacentral:rRNA from 1 species
AUUGAACGCUGGCGGAAUGCUUUACACAUGCAAGUCGAACGGCAGCACGGACUUCGGUCUGGUGGCGAGUGGCGAACGGGUGAGUAAUGCAUCGGAACGUGCCCAGUCGUGGGGGAUAACGUAGUGAAAAUUACGCUAAUACCGCAUACGAUCUAUGGAUGAAAGCGGGGGAUCGCAAGACCUCGCGCGAUUGGAGCGGCCGAUAUCAGAUUAGGUAGUUGGUGGGGUAAAGGCCCACCAAGCCAACGAUCUGUAGCUGGUCUGAGAGGACGACCAGCCACACUGGAACUGCGACACGGUCCAGACUCCUACGGGAGGCAGCAGUGGGGAAUUUUGGACAAUGGGCGAAAGCCUGAUCCAGCCAUUCCGCGUGCAGGAUGAAGGCCCUCGGGUUGUAAACUGCUUUUGUACAGAACGAAAAGGUUUCUACUAAUACUAGGAGCUCAUGACGGUACUGUAAGAACAAGCACCGGCUAACUACGUGCCAGCCGCCGCGGUAA